rnacentral:rRNA from 1 species
GUGAGGAAUAUUGGUCAAUGGGCGAGAGCCUGAACCAGCCAAGUAGCGUGCAGGAUGACGGCCCUAUGGGUUGUAAACUGCUUUUGUACGGGGAUAAAGGAGCUUACGUGUAAGUUUUUGCAGGUACCGUACGAAUAAGGACCGGCUAAUUCCGUGCCAGCAGCCGCGGUAAUACGGAAGGUCCGGGCGUUAUCCGGAUUUAUUGGGUUUAAAGGGAGCGCAGGCUGUCGGUUAAGCGUGUUGUGAAAUGUAGGUGCCCAACACCUGCACUGCAGCGCGAACUGGCUGACUUGAGUACGCACGACGUUGGCGGAAUUUGCCGUGUAGCGGUGAAAUGCUUAGAUAUGGCGAAGAACUCCGAUUGCGAAGGCAGCUGACGGGAGCGCAACUGACGCUCAUGCUCGAAAGUGCGGGUAUCGAACAGGAUUAGAAACCCUAGUAGUCC